ACCCGGUUGGCUCAGUGGUUUAGAGCGCGGCCACUUAUAUGUCUCUGAAAUAAGCGGCUGUGUGGCCAUUGCCGGGGGGUCCUGCCCCUGUCCCCCGCGUUGAGGCAGGGUUCCCCGGUGAUGGCUGCAUGGCGGACACUUCGGGGUAAGUCAGGCUGAGGUCACGAGUUCGAAUCUUGUACUGGGUA
rnacentral:tRNA from 1 species